AGUGAACGCUGGCGGUAGGCCUAACACAUGCAAGUCGAACGGCAGCACAGAGGAGCUUGCUCCUUGGGUGGCGAGUGGCGGACGGGUGAGGAAUACAUCGGAAUCUACUCUGUCGUGGGGGAUAACGUAGGGAAACUUACGCUAAUACCGCAUACGACCUACGGGUGAAAGCAGGGGACCUUCGGGCCUUGCGCGAUUGAAUGAGCCGAUGUAGGAUUAGCUAGUGGGCGGGGUAAAGGCCCACCAAGGCGACGAUCCGUAGCUGGUCUGAGAGGAUGAUCAGCCACACUGGAACUGAGACACGGUCCAGACUCCUACGGGAGGCAGCAGUGGGGAAUAUUGGACAAUGGGCGCAAGCCUGAUCCAGCCAUACCGCGUGGGUGAAGAAGGCCUUCGGGUUGUAAAGCCCUUUUGUUGGGAAAGAAAUCCAGCUGGCUAAUACCCGGUUGGGAUGACGGUACCCAAAGAAUAAGCACCGGCUAACUUCGUGCCAGCCGCCGCGGUAA
rnacentral:rRNA from 1 species